CUUUCCUUUCGAUGCCAGUUUUCUUCCUUGUUUACACAAGUUCAAUAAUUCUAAAGGAAAAGGCAAUAUGAUUGGCAAUGAUUGGCCUAUACAUAACAACUUUGACAUUGAUGAAGUUCAGCUUGAUCCAAGAGCUCUGUCUGAUGCCACUGAUGAAGAAGUACAGGUCGACCCCUGAAAAUAUUUGGAUGGAGAUCAGGAAAAGUAUCUGGAGGAUCCUGCUUUUGUACCAAUUACUCUACUGAGCCUUGUUGGCAGUACCCAGAUGAUCAUGAAAACAAAUAUUGUGAUCUGGAGUGUAGCCAUACUUGUAACUACAAAACGAGGUCAUCAUCAUAUUUAGAUAACUUAGUUUGGAGACACAGAGUGAACCAUUACUGUGAACCCAACCUUAUUAUAGAUCUUUCCAAUUGGAAAGAACAAGCAAAGAAAAAUCUGAUAAGGCAAAUCAAAACGUGAAAGGAAUGGAUUGGUUAAAGCCCAGACAGCACUAGAGGAAGCAUCACAGCAAGUGGCUGGAAAAGACAGAGAAAAGAAUCAGGGAUUUGAUUUUGAUUCCUUUAUUGCAGGAACUAUUCAACUUAGUUCCCAACAUGAGCCUACUGAUGUUGUUGAUAAAUUAAAUGACUUGAAUAGCUCAGUGUCCCAACUAGAAUUGAAAAGUUUGAUAUCAAAGUCAGUAAGCCAAGAAAAACAGGAAAAAGGAAUGGCAAAUCUGGCUCAAUUAGAAACCUUGUACCAGUCUUCUUGGGACAGCCAGUUUGUGAGUGGUGGGGAGGACUGUUAUCUCAUCAAUCAGUUGUGUGAGGUAAGGAAGGAUGAACAAGUUGAGAAGGAAAACACUUACACUCGUUACUUGGACAAGUUCUUUAGCAGGAAGGAAGAUACUGAAAUGCUAGAAACUGAGCCAGUAGAGAAUGGAGAGCUUGGGGAGAGAGGAAAUGAGGAAGGAUUUCUGAACAACAGUGGGAAGUUCCUUUUUAACAAGCAGCUGGAGUCCAUAGACAUCCCACAGUUUCGCAGUCCAGUUAGGUCACCACUUAAGUCAAUACAGGCCACAUUAACACCUUCUGCUAUGAAAUCUUCCCCUCAAAUUCCUCAUAAAACAUACAGCAGCAUUCUGAAACAUCUGAACUAAAACACUCAGCAGACAUUUAUCUUUGUAUUCUUCAUGAAAUGUGUUUUGUCUUUUUUUAUUACUAUGUUUAAGUCAUUUUUUACUUGAAUCAGAUGGUGUCAUUUAGUAAGGAUUUUAUUAGUUCUCGGUUUUUAAAAUCCAGACUUUCUUUUUCUACAUGUGAGAUAGUUUUUAUUUUAACUGGCAUGUCAUUUGCACACAAAAAUAAAGACUAGAGCAAAAUAAUGCAACGCAGGAGGAGAAAAGAAAUGCACUAAGACAAGUAAAGAACAUUCUCUCAUAGAACAGUGAUCUGUUUUACAGGAAACAAACCUUGCCUUGAAAUUUACACAGUGAGACUGUACAUAAUUGCAUGAAAAUAGCUAUUUUUUUCUAAGACAUUUUUCAUUCAUGAGUAUUUUCAAGUUUUUCAUAGUGUACACUUUUCUUAAAACACAUAAUACCAGCAGCAACUGAAAAUGAAUGCCAAAUUUGGUACGCAUGUGUUAUCUACCUCAAGGUAACAAGAGUAUGUGGCAAAACAUAUACCACCAUAGUGCUUCACAAUAUGUACUUCUAUUUAGCCAGGGUUUAUUGUAGUAAACUAUUCUUAAUAAGACUCAUUCACUGUUUAUAAAUGUUCUGGUGUGCAUUCUUUAUAGUGAAGUGUUAAUACAUCGCAUCUUACUUAUUUUAGUAAAUCAGUAUAUUUUCUGCAUUUAAUUAUAAAAAUUAACUUAGUUUUUAAAAUUUAUUUGCAAAUACACUUUUUCCAUUUGGCACUAUGGUCUGUUGCCUUCCUAGCUGAAUCUA